rnacentral:rRNA from 1 species
GACGAACGCUGGCGGCGUGCCUAAGACAUGCAAGUCGAGCGGGGCUUUGGGGCUUCGGCCCUGGAGCCCAGCGGCGGACGGGUGAGUAACACGUGGAUAACCUGCCCUCUGCUCUGGGAUAACAGGCCGAAAGGCCUGCUAAUACCGGAUAAGCUCACAGCCCCGCAUGGGGCAGGGAGAAAAGGCGCUGGAGUCGGUGGCGCUGGCAGAGGAGGGGUCCGCGGCCCAUUAGCUAGUUGGCGGGGUAACGGCCCACCAAGGCGACGAUGGGUAGCCGGCCUGAGAGGGCGGCCGGCCACACUGGGACUGAGACACGGCCCAGACUCCUACGGGAGGCAGCAGUCGGGAAUCUUGCACAAUGGGCGAAAGCCUGAUGCAGCGACGCCGCGUGGGCGAAGAAGGCCUUCGGGUUGUAAAGCUCUGUUGCCUGCGAAGAAGGGCCCUGUCAGGAAAUGGGCAGGGUUUGACGGUAGCAGGCGAGGAAGCCCCGGCAAACUACGUGCCAGCAGCCGCGGUAAUACGUAGGGGGCGAGCGUUGUCCGGAAUUACUGGGCGUAAAGGGCGUGUAGGCGGCCUGUUAAGUCAGGGGUGAAAGACCGGGGCUCAACCCCGGGGGUGCCCUUGAAACUGGCGGGCUUGAGUGCUCUAGAGGGCAGCGGAAUUCCCGGUGUAGCGGUGAAAUGCGUAGAGAUCGGGAGGAACACCAGUGGCGAAGGCGGCUGCCUGGGGAGUCACUGACGCUGAGGCGCGAAAGCUGGGGGAGCAAACAGGAUUAGAUACCCUGGUAGUCCCAGCCGUAAACGAUGAGUGCUAUGUGUGAGGGGUAUCGACCCCCCUCGUGCAGCAGCUAACGCAUUAAGCACUCCGCCUGGGGAGUACGGCCGCAAGGCUGAAACUCAAAGGAAUUGACGGGGGCCCGCACAAGCAGCGGAGCAUGUGGUUUAAUUCGAAGCAACGCGUAGAACCUUACCAGGGCUUGACAUGUGCGGAACCCUGCCGAAAGGCGGGGGUGCCACCCUUGGGGUGGAACCGCAACACAGGUGGUGCAUGGUUGUCGUCAGCUCGUGUCGUGAGAUGUUGGGUUAAGUCCCGCAACGAGCGCAACCCUCGUCGCAUGUUGCCAGCGGGUAAGGCCGGGCACUCAUGCGAGACUGCCGGUGACAAACCGGAGGAAGGUGGGGAUGACGUCAAAUCAUCAUGCCCCUUAUGCCCUGGGCUACACACGUGCUACAAUGGCCGCUACAGAGCGUACCGAACCCGUGAGGGGGAGGCAAUCGCCAAAGGCGGUCCCAGUUCGGAUCGCAGGCUGCAACUCGCCUGCGUGAAGCCGGAGUUGCUAGUAAUCGCGGAUCAGCAUGCCGCGGUGAAUACGUUCCCGGGCCUUGUACACACCGCCCGUCACACCAUGGGAGCUGGCAACACCCGAAGUCGGUGAGCUAACCCUGGAAACAGGGAGGCAGCCGCCGAAGGUGGGGCCGGUGACUGGGGUG